GAUGAACGCUGGCGGCGUGCUUAACACAUGCAAGUCGAGCGAAGCUUCUUCCAUGAUUUCUUCGGAUUGAAUGGAAGGAUGACUGAGCGGCGGACGGGUGAGUAACGCGUGGGGAACCUGCCUUAUACCGGGGGAUAACAGUUAGAAAUGGCUGCUAAUACCGCAUAAGCGCACGGCACCGCAUGGUGCUGUGUGAAAAACUCCGGUGGUAUAAGAUGGACCCGCGUUGGAUUAGCCAGUUGGCGGGGUAACGGCCCACCAAAGCGACGAUCCAUAGCCGGCCUGAGAGGGCGACCGGCCACAUUGGGACUGAGACACGGCCCAG
rnacentral:rRNA from 1 species